rnacentral:lncRNA from 1 species
GAAAUUAAAUAUUCUUCCAAAAUGAUGAAAGUAGAAGCAGUUAAUUUCCCUUCCAAAAAGAGGAGAGUAACAACAACUAAAAAAAGGAGAACAUAAGCAAGUAAAGUCACCUCAAAAUAAAUGAGAUGAUAGUUAAAGUUACUUGUUUAAAUCCAAAUUUAUACAUUAUUAUAAGAACCUAGCUAAUGAAUAAGGUAUUUACAAUCCUUCAUGCACAGUUAUU